rnacentral:tRNA from 1 species
GCGGAUGUGGUGAAAUAGGCAGACACGCUAUCUUGAGGGGGUAGUGUCCGACAGGACGUGCUGGUUCGAGUCCAGUCAUCCGCACCA